GACGAACGCUGGCGGCGUGCCUAAUACAUGCAAGUAGAACGCUGAAGAGAGGAGCUUGCUCUUCUUGGAUGAGUUGCGAACGGGUGAGUAACGCGUAGGUAACCUGCCUUGUAGCGGGGGAUAACUAUUGGAAACGAUAGCUAAUACCGCAUAACAAUGGAUGACACAUGUCAUUUAUUUGAAAGGGGCAAUUGCUCCACUACAAGAUGGACCUGCGUUGUAUUAGCUAGUAGGUGAGGUAAUGGCUCACCUAGGCGACGAUACAUAGCCGACCUGAGAGGGUGAUCGGCCACACUGGGACUGAGACACGGCCCAGACUCCUACGGGAGGCAGCAGUAGGGAAUCUUCGGCAAUGGGGGCAACCCUGACCGCGCAACGCCGCGUGAGUGAAGAAGAUUGUCGGAUCGUAAAGCUCUGUUGUAAGUCAAGAACGGGUGUGAGAGUGGAAAGUUCACACUGUGACGGUAGCUUACCAGAAAGGGACGGCUAACUACGUG
rnacentral:rRNA from 1 species